rnacentral:rRNA from 1 species
UACAGAGGGUGCGAGCGUUGUUCGGAAUUACUGGGCGUAAAGCGUGCGCAGGCGGUUUCUUAAGUCAGAUGUGAAAGCCCCGGGCUUAACCUGGGAAUGGCAUUUGGGACUGCAAGGCUUGAGUGCGGCAGAGGAGACUGGAAUUCCUGGUGUAGCAGUGAAAUGCGUAGAUAUCAGGAGGAACACCGAUGGCGAAGGCAGGUCUCUGGGCUGACACUGACGCUCAUGCACGAAAGCGUGGGGAGCAAACGGG